GGUGAUCCAAUCACAAGUGUAAAGAAACACCCAAAACACAUUGUGAUCAGUGGGGUGUCCUACGAAGCAAGUUAGACAAAUCUAGGUUAUCUAGACAUAUCGAGGCUGCACAAAGCCUCAGCUCGGGUAUUAAGUUAAGUGAUCCUACGACACCAGGUAUGUGAUAAAUUUGUCAAACUAGGCUUUCAGCUCAGAUCUGUGCGCGUUCUCGUGGUUGGGGUGAUUUUGACCAAUCGGGAAACGUGGAGACGCACAAGACAGCCUAGGUUUAAAAACGAUUACUUCCGCAUUUAUGAGCGGUAGCGAAAUCUAGGGUGGUCUUUUUUAGUGUCUAACCUAUAACAUCAAAAAGUCGAUGGUCAUCAGAUAUUGUAUGGCAUGCAUGUCCAUAGUAGUGACAUAUUUGCACGCACAACAUACUUAAAAGCGCCUUCGAGAUUCAAAAUGUUUGCAGAGGCGGGGCUGAACUUGUUCUAAGUAUGACAGAUUAGCACACGUGAGAUAACUUCGUUGUUCAAGAUAAUGGAUUGGUUAGAAUUGGUCAGAGGCGGUGAUAUUUCACGAUUUGAGCUUUAACUAAGCACAUAACCCGCUCCCGAGCAGGUUUGGUUGCGAGCAUAAGAUACCAUGGUGAUACAGCGACGCUAAAACAAAUCCACUUUCGUAUGACAGCAUACCCUGGUUUUGAGCGCAACAUACCUCGCUAAGCCACUAAUCGAGCUUCGUAGGACACCCCACAGGUCACUCAAACCACUUACCGAGGUGAUCUGACCACAUCUGAUAUCUCAGAUGUGAGUGUUGUGUAGUGUAAACGUAUGGAGUUUCGUUUGUGCCAAAAAGUUCAAACAAUACUUUUUCUAAUUCAAACAAAAAUCAAUUAAUCAAAAUACCAAAUACAAAAUCUAAACAAAAAAAAUAAAGUCGAAAAAAAAAAAUCUAAACUCGCAAAAAAAAUCUAAACUCGCAAACAAAUUAUUUGUGUAGUUGCAAAAAAAAAACUGUUUGAAUAACUUGUCUUUUGGUUUACAAUAACAACAAUCAUUUGCAGCGACAUCAUUCGUUUGUUUGCUCCUGGCUUUUUCAGUUUCGAUUCUGGCUCUCGCGUUUGCGCUGCCUGUUUCUUUGCUUGCGAUUCUGGCACAAACUUCACAUAUGGGUGGGUGUCUGUGGGGUGCAUUCCUAUUGGCUGAUGCGUUUUGACUGACAGCUUUACUAUGGAUUCAAGCGCAAGAGCUACCCACCCCCCUCCCCUCCCCAGUAGGUAGUGGUGCAACGCUCUUUUUGGCCACUAUGUACAGGUAUAUUCGAUGUGGCGCUAUUGAGCACAGUAUGUCAACCGCCAUAUGAAGAAGAAGAAGAUAUUGACCACAGUAAGUUCCGUGGAGCUAGCUACACCAAAGCCAUGGAUGGGCUACACGCGUUAUGGACUCAAAACAAUGGGUUUUCCUCACUACUCAUUAAUCCAAGAACAACUCAUCGUGAUGGAGCACCUGUACUCCCUGAUACAGCAGGAUCUGAGGGGAUUCCUCAGACAGGACGCAGAUGUGGAUUGACAACAUCCUGCAGUUUGACCUGUUCAACCGACCUCUUCUCUGUCCCAUACACACCUUUGUCCCAUACACGUCUUUGGUCAACCUCUGCUUCAUUGCCAUCACAACCAUCGGUCCCCGUUUCAUCUGCAGCACAACACAGCACAGCUGACGGCCUCUUCUCCAUCUGCAGCACAGCACCACACACCAGACAGAGUCUGCUGCGUCUUUCACACACCUGGUGGAUCCUAUCGUGUGCCUCACAUACCUGAGAGACUCUGCUCCACAGUACCUGCAGGCUCUGCCCUGCCCCACCCCUCGCACACCCGAUGGACCUAGCUGUGUCCCUCACAUACACAAUGCACUGUACCCCAUCCCUCACACAGCCGAUGGACCUAGCUGUGUCCCUCACAUACACAAUGCGCUGUACCCCAUCACUCACACACCCGAUGGAUCUAGCUGUGUCCCUCACAUACACAAUGCGCUGUACCCCAUCCCUCACACACCCAACAGACCCUGUUGUGUCUCUAACACACACAGCAGGCUUUGCCCAGCCCCUCAGGGUGGCUCUGAAAUCUGUGGCUUUCACACUCCCAACAGACGCUGCUCUCUCCCUCACACACCCGGCUGGCUCUGCCCGGUCCGUUGCACACCUGCAGACUUCCAGCCGCCACAAACCCAGCUCACCCUUCUCCUGCUGUGUCCUUUACAAACCAAAAAACGCAGCUAUGCUCCGCACAUGGCUAGCUGACUCUGCCUGGUCCCUUGCACACCCAGUGGACGUGGACACUGUUGUGACUGUUGAUAUUGAUAUUGCUGUUAUUGUUGAUAUACAUAGGUUUCUCGUUUACCAACUAUACUGGCUGCGCACGCAUCCGAGAGGCAGAAAAUGCCAAGCUACAUUACAAAGUUACUAAGUAGUUGGAUGUUAAGAAUGGUAAGCUUAUAUGCUAUGAUUAAUUAAGCAAUGAAAAAGUGAUGUUAUCUUCCAAAAAAAUGUAUUUAUUCAGUCAGAGUUCCCAAAAGUACAGCUUGAUGAUGGUAUUGACAAACAUACUGGGAAGGCAGAGCGCCGAAGCGCGUCUGUGUGAAUAAAUGGUGAUUGCUUAUGCAUA